ACUUCGUUUCAAAACUGUAAUACAUCAUGUUCAUUAAGCGGACUAUAUAUAAGGACCAUUGAUAACCGUUCAGUUCAUAAACAUUCUCCCGAUCGUAACCGCCUGCAUAUUUCAGAAUGAAUUGCAAGCAGCUUUUAGUUUUAGUUUUGGUGGCUGCUCUCAUGGUCACUUCCAGUGACGCCCUGCUUUUCAGGGGCCGUCGUGGCCGCCGCGGGCGUUCGGGAUUAGGGAGCUUGGCCGCUGGGAUUGGACUUGGGCUCUUGGGGUCGCGUCUUCUAGGAGGGCAUUCUAGACCCUACUACGGAUAUGGAUACCGACCUUACGGAUACGGAUACGGAUACCCUUUCGGACAUCACGGGGGGCUGGGUUUCGGACACCAUUACGGCUACGGGGGUCAUUUCUAUCCUAGCCGUCCAUUUUACUAAAGAUGGGACUACUCUGCUGCCGGUGGUUUUGUGUUCCCAAUUCUUUUGCCUUGGAAAGUUUGUAAAAAAAAAAUAUAAUAAUAAUAAAAGAAAAAUGCAUGA